AGUGAACGCUGGCGGUAGGCCUAACACAUGCAAGUCGAACGGCAGCACAGUAAGAGCUUGCUCUUACGGGUGGCGAGUGGCGGACGGGUGAGGAAUACAUCGGAAUCUACUUUUUCGUGGGGGAUAACGUAGGGAGACUUACGCUAAUACCGCAUACGACCUACGGGUGAAAGCAGGGGAUCUUCGGACCUUGCGCGAUUGAAUGAGCCGAUGUCGGAUUAGCUAGUUGGCGGGGUAAAGGCCCACCAAGGCGACGAUCCGUAGCUGGUCUGAGAGGAUGAUCAGCCACACUGGAACUGAGACACGGUCCAGACUCCUACGGGAGGCAGCAGUGGGGAAUAUUGGACAAUGUGCGCAAGCCUGAUCCAGCCAUACCGCGUGGGUGAAGAAGGCCUUCGGGUUGUAAAGCCCUUUUGUUGGGAAAGAAAAGCAGCAGGUUAAUACCCCGCUGUUCUGACGGUACCCAAAGAAUAAGCACCGGCUAACUUCGUG
rnacentral:rRNA from 1 species